CAGCGGCUGAUCUUGUCUCCUCGCGUCCAGCGCUGGUUCAGGAGUUUCCCCCGGUACUCAUUUUCUGACUGAAAAAAAUAAUAAUCCCGAAAGCUUCUCCGCCAGACGCUUCUCUCGUCUUCGUCGUGUAUUCAGUAAGUUGUGAGACAGUUUUGGGUAAAAUA